CUUUUCAAAAUUGACAGGAUCUAUUUAAAGUCCUGUAUUUUAUUUGACCAGAAAAUUCUAUUUUUCAGAUGUUACAUUUAAGAAAACUUCUUGAAUGUACAUGACAAAGAAUGAACAAGCAUAUUUAUUGCAACAUUGUUUAUAAUAGCAAUAAAGGUAAGCAACUUAAUAGGGGACUAAAUAAAUUGUGGUAUAUUUUUACAAUGACAGAGUAUACAGUAGUAAAAACAGUGAGGUGGAGCCCUAAGUGCUAACUUGGAAAAAGCUUCAGGAAAUAUCACUGAGUGAAAAAGGAGAUUGCAGAAUGAUAAAUGUAAUGUGAUGCAUUUUAUCAGGGCUAUUUAGGAAAAUUAUGGCCUAAUAGAAAUGACCUGGGCUGAGUGAGAGGAGCAGAAAUGGGGAGAGUGAUUAUUGCCCCUCGCUUGCUUUGCCUCCUUUAGCCAUUUCUUCCUGUUCUCUCAAUCAUUCUUUCCCCUCUUUCACUCCACAUUCUUUCCUUUCUUCAUCACUUCUUUUCAUAGUUAAAAUUGAAGCCAAGUCUACCCUCUAGGAAUUGUAUGUGUUUGUGCUCAUUAACAACCAGUUGAACUCUGUUGAUUAGCAAUAUGGUCAAUCCAAACUGGUUGUUAAAGUGUCAAAAUAAAUGGAUCCAAUACCUGCACCCGGGCUCACAUGAUCUCGUUGAUGAAUAAUUAAUAUAGCCUCAAUAUGAUGCAUUAUAUGGAAACCUGCCUGCUUUGGCUACUGUGAAAGCUUAAAAAUAAACCAACCAC
rnacentral:lncRNA from 10 species